rnacentral:misc_RNA from 1 species
GAUGAAGAACGCAGCGAAAUGCGAUAAGUAAUGUGAAUUGCAGAAUUCAGUGAAUCAUCGAAUCUUUGAACGCACAUUGCGCCCGCCAGUAUUCUGGCGGGCAUGCCUGUUCGAGCGUCAUUUCAACCAUCAAGCCCCCGGCUUGUGUUGGGGACCUGCGGCUGCCGCAGGCCCUGAAAACCAGUGGCGGGCUCGCUAGUCACUCCGAGCGUAGUAAUACAUCUCGCUCAGGGCGUGCUGCAGGUUCCGGCCGUUAAAAAGCCUUAUUUACCCAAGGUUGACCUCGGAUCAGGUAGGAAGACCCGCUGAACUUAAGCAUAUCAAUAAGCGGAGGA